UCUCUCUCUCUCUUUCACACACACACACACACACACACACACAUGCGGAUCUUGAAUGUGGUGUGAACUGUUGCAGUUAGAGCUCGGAUUUCACACACGCGCGCGCGCUUAACUCGUAAAAACAGAAAAAAACGCCGGUCAUCUCGGAAUUCCAGCUCGGGAUCUCGGGACGUUCUCCUCAGCUCCGAGUUCAGGAACUAACCCCAGCAGCACACACAGAUCCAUCAACAUACAGUGAACUUUCUUUAGUUUGUCUUGUUCAUGUUAUCAAACUGACCACUGAUGGAUAAUGGAGAGAAAGUCAGAUCACAGCAGAUCUCCAGACUCCUUGUGGAGAACCUCAGGAGCAGCAAGAGCCUCCAAGUGAUGAGGAUCAUCAGGCAAGUCCAAAGAGAAGAAGCGAUCAGGAGCACUGGGAGAGAGAGAGAGAGAGAGAGAGAGAAAGAGAGAGACAGACAGAGAGAGAGAGAAAGAGAGAGACAGACAGAGAGAGAGAGAAGUAACUUUCUUUGCAUGUACAUGUACACAGUUUAGGAUUACUAGAUGAUUUCUGAGCUUAAACUCUUCCAUUAAAAUAAACUGGGUUCUGAUGUU